GUUCAUUCGCUGGGAGGAGACGCACAAGAGCAAAGAACAAAAAGAGUGUGGGUUGUUGUGGACAAGCUGGAAAAGUACAGUAGAUUCAUGCUAUUCACGUGGGUUACGUUUCAAGACCAGCCGUGACUACCAAAUAAACCUGAGAAUUGGAUGUGGUUAACUCAAACAGCUCACCUGAGAACAGCAUCGAACCACAAAAGGGGCUCACUUCUGUCCACCCAGUGUGUCCAGUACUUCUCCACUAAGAGGGCAUCCCUGACUGAAGUGCAAAUCAAGAUCACAGGAGGGGACCAUUGUGUAGAAAUCUAGCAUUGGACAGCAUCUUUACCUUGCAUCCCUGUGGUACAAUGCAAAUGAAGGUGCAUAAAUAAGACCAGCCUGCACUGUGAGAUAUAAGAUGAAAAGGUGUCGUUUAAAAGCCUCGGGCCAUGGACCUGGCAUACUAGAGUUACCAGCUCUUACAAGGAAAACAACAAAGCAGGCAGAGAGACCUUAAUCAUACCUGCCGUGCUUUGAAAUCCCAGUAAGCCUGUGGAGCAUCAUCGUGAACUGCCAUCACCAAGAUUCCGACAUGGGAGUUUGGAUCGUUGCCUGUCACAGUAAGCAAUACCUGCUCACCUGGCUGGGCUUUUUCACUGCUCCAGUUUAAAGACACCUGCAUAAGCAGACACACCUAUUAUCACAUAUGCAGGUAUAUUGGAUGCGGAGCUUCAGAGGUGGUCCGUACAUAUUGUUGUUGACUGAUGGGGAUCUGCGCAGUGUCACUAAUGAGCUCUCCAUCAGGGAGGAUAGAAUACACAGUGAUACAGGCCUCAGGGGACCAGGACAGUGUCGGCACCAGAGAAAAAGAGGAAGAAGUCUUUGUCCCUGCUGUCACCACUUGACCUCGAGAGCUCACCUAGAAGUACAGCAAGAAAAUAGUAACUUUUUUGCUAGUGCUAUCGAGAAAUCACCAUGUUGAUUACGUAACAUCUAAAGUAGUUAAAUUAGUGCUUGAAGUAUUUCACGCCACCUUUUGUCAUAUAUUUUUGAUAUUGAUUUUUUUGUCUAUUAUAAUCCCCAGAAAUGUAUUUUAUUUCGUUAAAUCGGCACUCAGUGUCCUUUCCCGUCCCACUCAAGCUUGACUAAGUCGCCAAUAAACAUAGCACGCACCUUGUGGUGGGAUAGCAAGCGAAUAGCACGGAUGCGAGGCGCAUUCACAGACAAUUUUUUUUUUUUGGGCUAAGACCCCACAACUCACUGAAAACGGCUCCGUGACCCACUUUUUCAGUCAUGACCCACCAGUUGAGAAUCACUGAUCUAAACGAUACGCUAUCCUACCGAUAGUUUCUUAACUCAACAGUCUUGUCUUUGAUCUGUUUGCGGGAAGGCUGACUUUUGUGUACAGUAUGUUCAGGGUCGCAGUCAGACCUGGACUGGACUGGUCACUAGUGAAUCACAGGGCACAUAUAAAUACAAGACACCCAUACUCUUACUCACUUUCACUGAGUGAGAGCUAAACUAACAUCCUGGUUUGGAAAUAAUUGACCUUGGUUGCCUUAUGUCAGCGAUACAAAGGAAUGACUUCACAUGUCUGACUAAACAUACAGUACCACAUAAUGGAGCUUGGUUGGUUGGAAUGUGCUUUCCACAUCUAAUUGAAGAGGCAAUCCAACCUGGAAGAUGAAUAUAUACAUUAAUAUAAUAAAUUAGGAAAAAAUAGACAAUUAAUUAUUAAAAAAAUACUACUAAUAAUAUGUACUAUGAAUGUUUAUUACUGUAUCCAGUAUAACAUUCAUUUGCAAAAAGUGUAAUACCUUUGCAGGUAAGUUUGGGGAGAUCAGAAGAUAUGAGCCGCUAGGAGAUGAGUAGUUGUUGUAGAGUGUCAGCGUUUCUACACUUGACUGAAACGUGGCCUGUAUAGAUUAUUUUUUUUAUUUUAAUUUUUAAGCAUACACUUAAAAACACAAGGAUCUCACAGGUUGUUUUCAUUAAGAUCAACCUUUUGAGUUCUUUGAACAAAUAAAUACCCACCUGAAUUAAAAGCAUCUUUACUUCAUCCUGUAAUUUAAACUGAAUGUAGAUGUUCCCAUCCUGAGGCACUGGAAGAGUCAUUGUGGUAGUUUCGGCCUCCAUCGUGGAUGUUCUCUGAGUGACGUCAACCACAGCGGAGUUCAUUCGAUCCACUGGGCUCAGAGGCUUUCUGUCGUAUCUGCAGAUGCUAAGCUGAGAAAUGUAAGCGGAGAAGGUUGCAUUGGAGUGUAGCUUAUGGCUAUUUGAUUGAAAAUACAGGAUCUGUACAAUGCAGAUGAGUAACUAUCCCACUUUUGUAAAGAAGGCUAAAGAUGGCUUCAGUGACGGUGGGAAAUCACCGAACUUAAGCUCGUAUGAGUUCCUCCUCAGGUGGAUGGCAACAGUUCUGCUGACUUUGAUUCCUUAUGUGAAAUGACAAGUAUAUGUGAAUACCACACAAUUAUACAGUGUAGCUAUGAUUUACAGGGCAGCCAACCUGUAGACUUGUCAGUAAUGCACGCUGUAAUGUGUACAACAUCCAUUUUUGACGCAUGGAUGCUCUGAAGCUGACUUUUGCUGAAGGAAAACUGAGCUGACCCAUAGAUCUGUAGGGAACAAAGAAAAAAAUAGUCAAAUCUGCACUGCACAAAACAUGCUCAACACCUAAUACAUCCAAUAAAUGUUACUUUCACAAAGAUGACUUGAAUCUGCUUCAGUAGCGUAGACCUUCACCAAGGCCUAACAAUCUUUAAUUCUCUCAGGGUCACCUUCAUUUAAUUACGCAUUACUAACACAGACAUGACGGACAAUAAUAAAGUAUUCCACAUUUUUAAAUGAAGAAAAAUCCUUGAUUCAGCAAUAAUUUUAAAAGUUGACACUUGGUCCAUGCCAAACCCAAAGUUUUAUAGAAAUUGUUUUGUGUGUUCUUAACUAAUAAAUGCAUCCCUAGCAUGGAUGCUAAUAAUGCUUCACUUUCGGCACAGUCAGAGAGGCGUGCCUUUAACAAUAUGUUCAUUACUGUAGUUGCAUAUUAGAAAUACCUCUCGGUAUCAUGGAGCACUGCUCCAUAAACUAUAGUUCUAUACUACAAAGCUCACCUCUUUAGUUUGUGUCAAGUCAUCUACAGCAGACAGCUGAGUGAGUGACACAGCGAGGGUUCCUUGAACAGGUUGUCUGCUAGGAUAACUUGAAGAGAGAGACAAAUGAUUCCGUGAUUAGCAUGGUAUAUAUUCAUAUGUGAUAUUAUUCAUAUGCUUGUGUGAUACUGGACCCACAUGGCUAUUACUGAUCCUGAGAUAUCCUCUCCAAUUAGGACCUGAGGUGGCGUCUUCACCAGUACGUCAAAAUGGGGGGGCUCUGCAACAACAGGCAGUGCAUAAGUAGGAUUAGAGGCGUUAACGCAGCUUAGUUGUUAGAACACAAAUAUUACAAUAGUUCCUGCAAAUAUCCUUGACAUCAGUACUGGAAGAAAAAACAUUCACAUUCUUAUGGCUUAGGCCCGGGACUGAGGCGGGCCUCCCUUGGGGGGCUCUAGAAGACUUUUGGGAGUGUGCGGCAGCUUGAGAAAAAUAAAGAAAAUCAUCUUUUUCAAACUGGUGCUGCUAACUUUAGUUAUGUCAAAGGCAAAAUAAAUGCUAUUUAAAUGUUAUUUAGUCUAUAGUGCGUGAGAAAACAGAGUCUGGGGUGAGCAGAAAACCCUUCAAAAUAUGUUCAAGGAAAUCUUUUUUUUGGUGGGGUGCCCCAGCCAUAUUAUGCUCACUGAGGGAGGGAAUAUAACACUGGCCUGCACUGUGAAAACCCCUGGCUUUGAUUCUAUUUUGAUCAGGCAGGCCCUAAGGUGGUCAAAUCAAGUAGGUAAUUCUUGUAUUAAUUUAAUUCGAUUAGAUUUUUGGGUAGUAUCCCAUUCUUGAAAAGACAUUUUAGAAGGAUUUGUCAAACUGAUUCAUUUGUUUAUCAUUACUUAAAUUAUUGCUUAGUCUAUAUCCUUCAUUUAUUUAUACAUCAUUCAUGUUUGUCAUUUACCGUAUUUAUCUUUCAUCUUUUUAUCUAAUUAUUUCUUUCAUGUACUUGUUCAUGUAUUUUUUAUUUAUUUUUCUUUUAACACUUCUUUUCUUUCACCACGGCAUAAGCUGUCUAUCAAUUGCUGCAUAUUCUCUAUUCUCGUCCCUCACGGUUCGAAUUUCGCAGUUAACGGUUUUUCAAACAUCCAUCCAUCUUCUACCGCUUAUCUGAGAUCGGGUCACGGGGGCAACAGCCUAAGCAGGGAGGUCCAGAUUUUCUUCUUCCCGGCCACUUCGUCCAGCUCCUCCUGGAGGAUCCCGAGGCGUUCCCAGGCCAGUUGGGGGACAUAGUCUCUCCAACGUAUCCUGGGUCUUCCCCGAGGCCUUCUACCAGUCGGACUUGCCCUGACUUGCCCUCCCCAGGGAGGCGUCCGGGAGGCAUCCUGACCAGAUGCCCAAGCCACCUCAUGUGGAUCCUCUCAAUGCGGAGGAGUAGCGGUUCUACCCUGAGUCUCUCCCAGAUGACAGUGCUUCUCACUUUAUCUCUAAGGGAGAGCCCAGCCAGCCUAUGGAGAAAACUCAUUUCGGCCGCUUGUACCCGCAAUCUUGUCCUUUCGGUCACUACCCAAAAGAUCAUGUCCAUAGGUGAGGGUAGGAAUGUAGAUCGACCGGUGAAUUAAGAGCUUUGCCUUUCGGCCUUUCGGCCAGCAGGACCACAUCAUCUGCAAAAAGCAGAGACUCAGUCCUGCAGCCACCAAACCGGAACCCCUCAACGCCCUGGCUGCGCCUAGAAAUUCUGUCCAUAAAAAUAAUGAACAGAAUUGGUGACAAAGGGCAGCCCUGGCGGAGUCCAACCCUCACUGGAAACGGGUCUGACUUAUUGCUGGCAAUGCGAACCAAACUCUGACACCGGUCAUACAGGGAACGAACAGCCUGAAUUAGCUGGUCCGAUACCCCAUACUCCCAGAGUACUUCCCACAGAAUUCCUCGAGGAACACGGUCGAAUGCCUUCUCCAAGUCCACAAAACACAUGUAGACUGGUUGGGCAAACUCCCAUGCACCCUCAAGGAGCCUGCUCAGAGUGUAGAGCUGGUCCAGAGUUCCACGACCAGGACGAAAACCACACUGCUCCACCUGAAUCCGAGAUUGAACUAUAUGACAGAUCCUCCUCUCCAGAACCCCUGAAUAGACCUUACCAGGGAGGCUGAGGAGUGUGAUUCAACGAUAGUUGGAACACACCCUCCGGAACCCUUCUUAAAAAGGGGGACCACCACCCCGGUCUGCCAAACCAGAGGUACGAUUCCGUGUUUCAGUAAUAUUACUUGACCAAACGUUUUCUGACAUACCACGCUCCUAAACAAGUAAGAAAAGUAUGUAUGCUCUGUGCUGAUAUCGGAUUGGUAUCAUCUGAUAUUCAAUGCUGCAAUGUCAGAAUCGGAUUAGAAGUGAAAAAGUUGUAUUGGGACACCCCUACUCUGGAACCAAUUAAACUAUCAUUGCUGAGAAUGGAGAAGAGGUCGGAUUAAAUAACCUCUGCUUCUUCCUAUGUAUGUUGAAUUUGCAAGUGCAAAGAAACUCGUGAUGUGAAACAUGUGAUGUUCCUCAGUGUAACCUGUUAAGAACUGUAUGUCCCAAAUAGAUAAAACCAUUAUCAUCAUCACUCUACUAAUGGAUGGAAUGUAAAUAUAGUGGUUACCGUAAUGCUCCACAGUGAAUGUUCUCUCAUCAGUCACAUGCUGUUUUGGAGGGGCAGGGAAAAAGUUUAGUGGUAAAAGUUGAUCAGCCUUCAGGUGUUCCUGACACAAAUCAAACGUCACAUUUUAAACUCACCUGCACUGUCAUGGUGACUGCCCACUUUCCCAGAGGAGGGGUCGGGGAUAAAUGAAAUUCCUGAAACACAAUCCCGUGAUUCCCAGUGGACUGCCAACUGUCUACCACAUUCCCAGUGGGAUUCUUCAAAGUGACAAAAGAACAUCAGUGGCACUUCCCAUCACCACACAAUGCCCGACUAAAAGCUCUUCAUCUCCUUAGGCCACUAGCACAUCAAAUCUGUACCUUAAUGGAGAUAUCAAUUCUUCCUCUGUACAGACGAUUAUCCAACUGAAGACACGCGGUCCACACUUUGACAGCAUCUCCUGGAUGAUAUUGCGAACGUUCGGUUUGAAGGAAGCAGGAGACAUUCCUGAGGUCAAACCUGAUGGUGGUGACGUUGGAGAAGACGAUGUUGUCCCCAUUGUAGCCCAUCAACGUCAGAUUUAAAUGUGAAUUUUGAGUUAUGGAGGGCGGAAGCUGUAGCAGUGUGGGAUGGAAUCAGUAGAAACAUGUAAUACUGAAGCCGCAGCAACUAAUAAACCUUUGGUUGAUUUGAUUACACACGUAUAGUAAAAGGAGGAGGGAAUACUCACUGGUGGGAGAGUAAGCAGCUGAGUCACACCUUAAAAAACAGGAUGUUUUAUACGUACAGUAUGUGUACAGUAUAUGCUCAUUACAGUUAAACAAGAGGUACUUCUGCACAAUUACUAUAAUGCAUUACAGGUAAUAAUGCAUUUGGCGUAGAGCUGUGGACAUGUUAAAUAUUUUGACCAUCUCAUGUACUUAAAUAAAGUAACCAAAUUAUUAGAUACAUCUAAAUGUGACAGACCACUGCAGACUACAAACAGUGUCAGUCGUCAGGAAAGAGACUCAUCUCUGGGGAGUUAGCUGGAAAACUCACAAGCAGACACACGCAAACUCUACACAGGUAUGC